CUGGCCGGGAGAUGCCGUGCAGCCCUGAGGGACAGAGUGCCGAGAAUGGAGCCAGAGCCUCCUGCCCUUGCAGCUCUCCUUGCAGCCUGGCCUCAUGAUGCCCUGGAAUUUCAAGGUAGGGGAAGGAUCAAAAGGAGGAUCAGAAAGACCUGACUCAGGCCUCCAGAAUUCAGCCCCUUACAAAGUGACCUUCUUUGCUGCUCUUGUCACUGACCCUGAAAAGCCAGCAGGAUCUGCAGUUGCCAAGGAAUUGGAGCUAAUUUUCCUUUCAUUUAAGCUGAGUAAGCAAAUAAAGCAUUUAUUUUGUGUUGAA